rnacentral:rRNA from 1 species
UGUUUCGGCUAGGGGGUCAUCCCGACUUACCAACCCGAUGCAAACUACGAAUACCGAAGAAUGUUAUCACGGGAGACACACGGCGGGUGCUAACGUCCGUCGUGAAGAGGGAAACAACCCAGACCGCCAGCUAAGGUCCCAAAGUCAUGGUUAAGUGGGAAACGAUGUGGGAAGGCACAGACAGCCAGGAUGUUGGCUUAGAAGCAGCCAUCAUUUAAAGAAAGCGUAAUAGCUCACUGGUCGAGUCGGCCUGCGCGGAAGAUGUAACGGGGCUAAACCAUGCACCGAAGCUGCGGCAGCGACACUAUGUGUUGUUGGGUAGGGGAGCGUUCUGUAAGCCUGCGAAGGUGACCUGUGAGGGUUGCUGGAGGUAUCAGAAGUGCGAAUGCUGACAUAAGUAACGAUAAAGCGGGUGAAAAGCCCGCUCGCCGGAAGACCAAGGGUUCCUGUCCAACGUUAAUCGGGGCAGGGUGAGUCGACCCCUAAGGCGAGGCCGAAAGGCGUAGUCGAUGGGAAACAGGUUAAUAUUCCUGUACUUGGUGUUACUGCGAAGGGGGGACGGAGAAGGCUAUGUUAGCCGGGCGA